AACUCAAUCCCAUAAAAUACUAGCAAGUAAAGAUAUUCGUAUUAUUGUUCUUAAAGUUUUUUCUUGCAGAAAGUCUGGAUCAACGUAAAUAGAAAAAAUAAAAUGUAAUAGCAGCAAGUGAGAUAUGAUUGUUAUAAACGUAGUUAGUAAGUGUGUUGUUUGUGAGUGUGACUCAGGGUCCACCUAAAAUAAAACACAAUUCCAUAGAAGUAAUAACAAUAACAGUCAUUAGCAUUGGCGGUGUAUGCUAAUGUUGGUAGCAGAAUCCCCCGUUGAACCGCAGUUAGCCAGCUAGCCUCCUGUCAUGCUAACACGAAUGCGCAGCAAACUGUCGCGUCCACAGCCGUGCGUGUGGUCCCAGGUUUAAUAAGGUUCAUGUAAACACAGCCACGUGUCUGACCAUCAAGUGUGUGGGAGAUCCAGUUCAGGCUGUAAGUUCCACAUAACAGGCCCGCGGGGGCUAAGGCUAGCUAAAGUUAGCCUGGCCGAUGCGGAAGUGUCCACUCGUAGGUUGGCAGACCAAACUAAGUAGCGAGAGGAGAAAUCCGCAACAGGAGUAAAUGGCCGAGCUGGUGAGCCACACUCACCGUUUGGUAUCGGCUCGCUGGGUCCAUCCCCGGUUCGGUUCAGCUGGGAGAUCCGGCCGAGGGGAGUCCGACUGCUGAAUGUGUCCGAGCCGCGAGCGUCGCGAUCCGGGGACGCUCCUGUCAAACUGUCGCUGGACAACAGAGGAGAGAAA